AACGAACGCUGGCGGCAUGCCUAACACAUGCAAGUCGAACGAGACCUUCGGGUCUAGUGGCGCACGGGUGCGUAACGCGUGGGAACCUGCCCUUAGGUUCGGAAUAACUCCCCGAAAGGGGUGCUAAUACCGGAUAAUGUCUUCGGACCAAAGAUUUAUCGCCUUUGGAUGGGCCGGCGUUGGAUUAGCUAGUUGGUAGGGUAAAAGCCUACCAAGGCGACGAUCCAUAGCUGGUCUGAGAGGAUGAGCAGCCACACUGGGACUGAGACACGGCCCAGACUCCUACGGGAGGCAGCAGUGGGGAAUAUUGGAAAAUGGGCGAAAGCCUGAUCCAGCAAUGCCGCGUGAGUGAUGAAGGCCUUAGGGUUGUAAAGCUCUUUUACCCGGGAUGAUAAUGACAGUACCGGGAGAAUAAGCUCCGGCUAACUCCGUG
rnacentral:rRNA from 1 species